rnacentral:rRNA from 1 species
CCUACGUGAGGCUGCAGUGAGGAAUAUUGGUCAAUGGACGCAAGUCUGAACCAGCCAUGUCGCGUGCAGGAAGACGGCUCUAUGAGUUGUAAACUGCUUUUGUACGAGGGUAAACGCAGAUACGCGUAUCUGUCUGAAAGUAUCGUACGAAUAAGGAUCGGCUAACUCCGUGCCAGCAGCCGCGGUAAUACGUAGGAUUCAAGCGUUAUCCGGAUUUAUUGAGUUUAAAGGGUGAGUAGGUGGUCGGAUAAGUUAGCGGUGAAAUCGCGAGGCUCAACUUCGGAAUUGCAUUUGAUAACGAGUGGAGAGAGGGUAGAAGAGGGAGGAGGAAGGUGUGGGGUAGCGGUGAAAGGC